rnacentral:rRNA from 1 species
UACGUAGGCAGCGAGCGUUGUUCGGAAUUACUGGGCGUAAAGAGUGUGUAGGCGGUGCUCUAAGUUCGGUGUGAAAUCUCCCGGCUUAACUGGGAGGGUGCGCCGGAACUGGAGUGCUCGAGCGUGGGAGAGGAAAGCGGAAUUCCUGGUGUAGCGGUGAAAUGCGUAGAUAUCAGGAGGAACACCUGCGGUGUAGACGGCUUUCUGGACCAUUGCUGACGCUGAGACACGAAAGCGUGGGUAGCAAACAGG